rnacentral:rRNA from 1 species
GGCCUCCGGACAGGCGCUCCAACCCCAAUGUGAACGUUACCAAUCUGUUGCCUCGGCGGGAUUCUCUUGCCCCGGGCGCGUCGCAGCCCCGGAUCCCAUGGCGCCCGCCGGAGGACCAACUCCAAACUCUUUUUUUCUCUCCGUCGCGGCUCCCGUCGCGGCUCUGUUUUAUUUUUGCUCUGAGCCUUUCUCGGCGACCCUAGCGGGCGUCUCGAAAAUGAAUCAAAACUUUCAACAACGGAUCUCUUGGUUCUGGCAUCGAUGAAGAACGCAGCGAAAUGCGAUAAGUAAUGUGAAUUGCAGAAUUCAGUGAAUCAUCGAAUCUUUGAACGCACAUUGCGCCCGCCAGUAUUCUGGCGGGCAUGCCUGUCCGAGCGUCAUUUCAACCCUCAAACCCCUCCGGGGGCGUCGGCGUGUCCUCCCCGAGCUUUCUCACCAAAGGAAGAAAAAAAUUUGGAUUUGGUCUUGUCCCCCGCGAGCUCUCGAUUUGGACUGGGACACCCACGCGCGGGGGCAAUCCCAUCCUCGGCGAGACAGGGAAAUGGUCACUGUAGGGCUUGGGAGUGGAAAACCUCACUCAGGAAACCUCCCCCCGUACUCGGCCGGGAGGAACCCU